CUUCCUGUUCCGGUUGCCGCGGCGAUUCGGUUGCCUAGCAAGAGGCGAGGUUUAGGCAUUCACUUAUUUUAGAUGGUGGGUCCCCUGGAAGGAGUGUAUCGCUGCUGCAAGCUUCUAAGAUGUUUCCAUCCCGGCCUGCUGUGGGCAGUCCCUGUUAUGGUAUGUUGUCCCCGACACAUUAUAAAUCGUAAAUUCUUUUAUCAGCAAGACUAAGAACCUGCAAAAGGGAACCCUGAUAACUAGUAAUAUGUCUUGCUCAAUUCUUUGGGAUACAAUCUGGAUGUCACAUGAAGGACAACUCAAGACCCCCAUCCAGUUAUAUCAGCCUUUUAUUAUACUUACUGACUUUUGCACAGAGUAUCAUGAUGAAAACCCAAAAAGUGGUAUUUGAAACGAAGACAUUGACAUUAUUUAAGUAAUAGUAGCACAAGAUAAUGUAUUAUCAGUUCUGGAUUUUUUUUUUUUUUUGAGUGGAAGGGGAGGUUGAGAUAGCCCAGGUCUAUAGCCCUAGAACUGGCCUCAAACUCCCAGAGAUCCACCUGCCUCUGCCUCCCAAGUGCUGGGAUUAAAGGCUUGCACUGCCACUGCCCGGCUUCUUUGGCCUUUUUAUACCUUCUUAGACAAAAGUUCCUAGAAAAUUACCUCAGAAAGAAAUGUUACAUAAAAUGGGAGUUACAGAAGGAUGUUGAUAUUAAGUUCAAAGCAGUGUUGCAUUCUAUAUGCUCAUUAUACAUUUAAAGCAACAGUUUCACAUGGCCUUGCCUUAUCAUAGUGCACACCUGUAGCUUUAUCCAUGGACCUAAAUAUUUUUCCUUGAACAUAAAUUUGUCCCAAGACUAUUCCUCUUUUUAGUGUAAUUAUGAAAGCUCACUAUUUCUUAUUAUGUAGACUUUACUUGCUAUUAUGAGGAAUUGGCACAUUCUAUUCUUGAUUCUAACUUUAUUACAUCUUUCUAGCAAAGCAACUAAGUCCAUUUCUAAAAACUUUCUUUCUAGAAUUAAUCAAAUCAAGAAUUCUAUAAAAUCAUUCAUUCAUCUAAACAGCAUUAAUUCAUGAAAGUUCAUCUUUGUGUUGAUCUGCAGAAAAUCUGGUCAAUAGGGUGGGCUAAUGCCCAGGAACUAUUAUAUUAAUAAUGACAGGAAAGGCAUAUCAGUUGCAGGAAGCAAUCCUCUGGUGAAAUCCCUUUGGGACCCGUACCUCACAGAGCUCACCCACCGCAGAUGUGCAGAAGCAGCAGGUCACCUCCAGGAAGGCAACCUUAGCCUAUCCUAGGUGGCUCCUGGCACCCAACCCUACAGCUCAUUUUGCAGACAAAGGCCAAGAGGUGUCCUAGUUCAUGUCCAUAAAAAAAUGACCAGAAAGCUAGAAGUAAGGUCCACCUAUGCAGUGGUAAGACUUCCUAACAUUUUAAAGAGCAUACAUUUUUUUUUAGGGUUUUUUUUUUUUUUUUGGAACUGGACUUUUUGAAAUAGUAACACAGUUACUAUUCUGUUGCCGUGAUAAAAUACCAUGACCAGGUCAUCUUAUUUGUGGGAGGAGGUAUUUGGGCUUACAGUUCCAUAGGGAUAAAAAUCCAUCCUGGUGGAGAAGCAUGGUACCAAGCAGCAGCGAGAAGCUACGAUUUCACACCCUCAGCUACAAGCGUGAGUCAAGAGAGUGAGCCGGAAGCAUGCGAUACCUCCAGUGGUACACUUCUACCAGCAAGGCUAGUCCACCUAAACCUCACCAGCAGCACGGCCGACUGGGACGCUCUCCUCAAUCACAGCACAGUACCCAUUAGUACUAUACAGUGUGUCUAUGCAGGAGGCGAUUUUCUCCUGUUAGUUUCUUUUAAUAAACAAAGCCUUGGAUUCUCCUGCAUCAACAGGUACAAAUAUGCUAGCCAAGCAGAACACACAGGUAUUUUGAUUGAUAACUUACAUCUAAAAUGUACAUAGUAAGUUCAUUGCUUAGGAGAGCAACCCGAGCCUCUUUCCAAGCCAGGCAUAGCAGCUUAUAUGUGCACUCUUCCUGCAGGAAGAAGAUGAGGACUAUUAGCUACAUCUCUGUGGAGCUCAUUUCGUUUACAUAUGUAUGUUACUUCCAAAUUUGCAUUUUCAAUGACAAAAUUGCCAAAUCCAGAACAGUUGUCCUACGAAAGGUGCUUUGAACCAUCUUAAAGCUAUAAUGCCAUUUCGCCAGCAGAUGGCGCUUCGUAGGUUAGGGUAGGGAUGCAGUGGGAGGGGAGUUUUUAAACCUGCUCUGAAAAUAUAAAAUGCAUUUAAUGGAAGGAAAAAUGAUAAUUAUAAUCUCAAAAAAUUUAAAAAAACAUGCAAUUAGUGUUAAAGGUAAAAUACAACCAUUAUUUGUAACAAGUCACUACAAAUAAAGCAAAUAAAAGAUAAAACCUAGGUCGUAAAAAAAUGUAAGCAGUUUGUAUGAAUGAAUAAACAAUUAAAC
ensembl:lincRNA Gm26606 predicted gene, 26606